rnacentral:tRNA from 1 species
UACACAAAAGCUUUAUGUAGUGAAGCGCUAGUCUUUUAAUCUAGAGAUGAGUAAGAACUCUUGUGUAG